GAUGAACGCUGGCGGCGUGCCUAAUACAUGCAAGUCGAGCGAACAGACGAGGAGCUUGCUCCUCUGACGUUAGCGGCGGACGGGUGAGUAACACGUGGAUAACCUACCUAUAAGACUGGGAUAACUUCGGGAAACCGGAGCUAAUACCGGAUAAUAUAUUGAACCGCAUGGUUCAAUAGUGAAAGACGGUUUUGCUGUCACUUAUAGAUUGAUCCGCGCCGCAUUAGCUAGUUGGUAAGGUAACGGCUUACCAAGGCAACGAUGCGUAGCCGACCUGAGAGGGUGAUCGGACACACUGGAACUGAGACACGGUCCAGACUCCUACGGGGGGCAGCAGUAGGGAAUCUUCCGCAAUGGGCGAAAGCUUGACGGAGCAACGCCGCGUGAGUGAUGAAGGUCUUCGGAUCGUAAAACUCUGUUAUUAGGGAAGAACAAAUGUGUAAGUAACUAUGCACGUCUUGACGGUACCUAAUCAGAAAGCCACGGCUAACUACGUG
rnacentral:rRNA from 1 species